rnacentral:rRNA from 1 species
GCCCCUUCGGGGGUGUAUAAAGUGGCGAACGGCUGAGUAACACGUGGGCAACCUGCCUCUUGCUCUGGGAUAGCCACGGGAAACCGUGGGUAAUACCGGAUACUCCGUAACCAUCGCAUGGUGGAUACGGGAAAGCGCAUACGGCAAGAGAUGGGCCCGCGGCCUGUUAGCUUGUUGGUGGGGUAACGGCCUACCAAGGCAAUUAUGGGUAGCUGGGUUGAGAGACCGACCAGCCAGAUUGGGACUGAGACACGGCCCAGACUCCUACGGGAGGCAGCAGUGGGGAAUCUUGCACAAUGGGCGAAAGCCUGAUGCAGCGACGCCGCGUGCGGGAUGAAGGCCCUAUGGGUUGUAAACCGCUUUCAGCAGGGAAGAGGCCGCAAGGUGACGGUACCUGCAGAAGAAGCCCCGGCUAACUACGUGCCAGCAGCCGCGGUAAUACGUAGGGGGCAAGCGUUAUCCGGAUUCAUUGGGCGUAAAGCGCUCGUAGGCGGCUUGUUAGGUCGGGAGUCAAAUCCCGGGGCUCAACCCCGGCACGCUUCCGAUACCGGCAGGCUUGAGUUUGGUAGGGGAAAGUGGAAUUCCAAGUGUAGCGGUGGAAUGCGCAGAUAUUUGGAAGAACACCAGUGGCGAAGGCGGCUUUCUGGGCCAUAACUGACGCUGAGGAGCGAAAGCUAGGGGAGCAAACAGGAUUAGAUACCCUGGUAGUCCUAGCCGUAAACGAUGGACACUAGUGUGGGGGAAAAUUUCUU